GCCAAGCAGCCGCGGUAAUUCCAGCUCCAAUAGCGUAUAUUAAAGUUGUUGCGGUUAAAAAGCUCGUAGUUGGAUCUCGGCGGGCAGGGGGUGGUUCGCUCUUCAGCGCUACUGCCCCGCUUUGCCCGUGUGAUUGGCGGAGGUUUCGGGGUGCUCUUCGUUGAGUGACUCGGAGCGCCGUCAGGUUUACUUUGAAAAAAUUAGAGUGCUCAAAGCAGGCUUUUCACGCUUGAAUAUUCGUGCAUGGAAUAAUGGAAUAGGAACUCGUUUCUAUUUUGUUGGUUUUCGGAAAUCGAGUUAAUGAUUAACAGGGACAAUUGGGGGCAUUAGUAUUCAGACGACAGAGGUGAAAUUCUUGGACCGUCUGAAGACUGACUACUGCGAAAGCAUUUGCCAAGAGUGUUUUCAUUAAUCAAGAACGAAAGUUAGAGGUUCGAAGGCGAUCAGAUACCGCCCUAGUUCUAACCAUAAACGAUGCCAGCUAGCGAUCUGCCGAGUUUUUUUUGUAGGCUCCGCAGGAAGCUUUCGGGAAACCAAAGCUUUUGGGUUCCGGGGGAAGUAUGGUUGCAAAGCUGAAACUUAAAGGAAUUGACGGAAGGGCACCACCAGGAGUGGAGCCUGCGGCUUAAUUUGACUCAACACGGGAAAUCUCACCAGGCCCGGACACUGGAAGGAUUGACAGAUUGAGAGCUCUUUCUCGAUUCGGUGGGUGGUGGUGCAUGGGCCGUUCUUAGUUGGUGGAGUGAUUUGUCUGGUUAAUUCCGAUAACGAACGAGACUCUGUCCUGCUAAAUAGUUGGCGUAAUGAUUUUCAUUGCGUACAUCUUCUUAGAGGGACUUUGUGUGACUAACACAAGGAAGUUGGGGGCAAUAACAGGUCUGUGAUGCCCAA
rnacentral:rRNA from 1 species